rnacentral:rRNA from 1 species
AUUGAACGCUGGCGGCAUGCCUUACACAUGCAAGUCGAACGGCAGCACGGGUGCUUGCACCUGGUGGCGAGUGGCGAACGGGUGAGUAAUACAUCGGAACAUGUCCUGUAGUGGGGGAUAGCCCGGCGAAAGCCGGAUUAAUACCGCAUACGAUCUACGGAUGAAAGCGGGGGACCUUCGGGCCUCGCGCUAUAGGGUUGGCCGAUGGCUGAUUAGCUAGUUGGUGGGGUAAAGGCCUACCAAGGCGACGAUCAGUAGCUGGUCUGAGAGGACGACCAGCCACACUGGGACUGAGACACGGCCCAGACUCCUACGGGAGGCAGCAGUGGGGAAUUUUGGACAAUGGGCGAAAGCCUGAUCCAGCAAUGCCGCGUGUGUGAAGAAGGCCUUCGGGUUGUAAAGCACUUUUGUCCGGAAAGAAAUCCUUGGCUCUAAUACAGUCGGGGGAUGACGGUACCGGAAGAAUAAGCACCGGCUAACUACGCG